UCCGCUCCAAUGCCAGCUUGCUCCUGCUCCAGGCAGAGUUUCCAUGUGCCUGGACUCCUUCCCUCGGCUCCUCCCUAGAGGGACUGCUGUACCCAUUCUGCAGACGAGGAAGACUAAGAGCUGGAUGGGAGUGGAUUUGCCCAGGAUCACACAGUUCAAGGAAUAGCAGGGAUUUGAAGAGGAGUGAAACAUUGUAAGGUAAGAGGUGACAGAAAACCAACUUAAGCUGGCCUCAACAAAAACACACCUGUUGGUUCACCUCGCUGGAAGUCCAGAGGUAGAUGGAUGUUAUGGACCGAAUCGUGUCUCCCCCAAAUUCACAUGUUGAAGCCCUAACCCUCAGUGUGACUGCAUUUGGAGAUAGAGC